ensembl:lncRNA
UCUCCUUCAUGUGUGUCUCACUUUGUAUUGAAUGAUGUUAAGCAGAGCUGGAGCUGGCGCCUCGGCCUCAUUACCUUCAAUUACAGUAAUUGUUGCCUCUCUCCAGUGUUUUGCAUUUCUCCCUGGGGGAAAUCUCUCUGCUGCUUCUUUUCCAGUCUUGCUCCAGCUUUCUCCUAUCGAUUGGAUCGCUCUGGCCCCGAUUCUAGGAGCGAUGCCUCCAGGAGGAUAAAUGCAAAUCGCCCUAUUGAUUGGGAGGAGUAGGAGUGCAGCUCGUUUGGGGGAGGGAGAAUUCGUUUUAAAUGAAGAAAAAAAGUAAAGUGAUGAGCAUGACAGGAAAUGCUUCACUUUCUGGGCCUCUUAAGUAGUGUCUCUUUAUCAUGUCCUGUGUCUGAGGGGGAUGUAGAUUGGUGCCAUCUGGAUAAUAUAUUACAUGCAUGGAGAGGUGGAUCCCGCGACACAGACACUAGUCUGGUUUCCUACUUAUUUUAGGUGAACAUGUAUCACUGAUCAUUUCUGGAACGCAGCUCCCCUCCUCCAGUUUGAAGGUGACUGAGUUUCACUGGGGACACGCUAAUUGCUGCUGAAAAUGAGCAGGGAGUAAUGUGCAGGCCUCUAUCCACCUCCUUGAACUGCCCAGUUACAGGGGAAAGGCCUGAACCCCUCAUGGCGGCCAUCAUCUCAUGCCCAUGCUGGGACUCUCACGCACAUGGAGAUUCUGGAGAAGGUGAUGGAUGUGAUUUGGCACUUCACUGGAGGGACUCUGACAUUUGGAAGCAGACUCUUGCACGGCUGCACUACUCACAUGCUCCUGAGCCUCUUCUGGAAUAUGACUGUAGAGAAGAGAAGGUGUUGUCCUGAGUUUUUGCUGGCCUGUCAGGAGAAAUGCUGUUCUGGAAUAGUUCAGGACACUAGGUGCUCACCUGAAUUGGUCUUUUAGAAGGAUUCGUCAGUCCUUCCAGAAACUUGGCACUGCAACUGUUGGCUUCUGAAACGAAGUAAAAGAAUCAAACCAUCAUUUAUGUGGCCUGCAAAGACUCGUUGGAUGGAUCUCUUGUUUUAGUUGGCAAUUUCUUCUUAAAGACAAGAUUUCACAUCUGCGACAGAGCUUUGAGCUGAUGCAGAGAAUGUGCUCCUGUGAGAUGCUGCCCAAAGCAGUCCCUUUCCGUGAGAUGCCCAGAGGCUGAUUUUGCAACCAGGUCCUUCUGUUCAUGUUGGCUUCAAAGGCCUUCACGUAUCUGGUGGGAGGGAGCAGCCCUGUGCUCUGCAGGCUCUGACUACAGGCUCUGUAGUCCAUUCAAGUGGAGGCUUUAGGCUGCUCUCCCAUGGCUGCUGGAGACAUGUAAUGCGGCCUCAGGCUCCUGACGCUUUCCUUGAUGGUUCGUUAUAGUCAUUAUCCCACAUUCCUUCUGGUUGCAGAACAUGUUGUUAUUAUUGCUUUGUACUGGGUCUGUCUCCUGUCCCUUUUUUACAGGCCAAUCCGGCCCUAUUAGCUCUUGUCUCUAAAACAAAAGCAAAUUAGCACUGCAGAAGCUGAAUUAUCUUGUUUACGUUAUAGUAUGUCAGGGGACCCCACACAAUCCUUGCAUGUCUCUCUGAGCAGUGUGCCAGAGAGUGAAGAGACACAGUAAGUCGGUCAAACCCUCCUGGCACUCUGACCCAAUCCACAGGUUUCCAAAAGAGUCUUUAGUUGCUUUGGGGAAGCUAAGGCUGGUCAGUGAUCCCUGCUAUCCCUCCCUCAGUUUUGGUAUUUUAUGCAUGCUUGUAGCAUACAGAACUAGAAAUUUUUUUACAGUAAAUUGUACCUCUCAACUCAAACUUGACAGCUGUCAAUGAAAUUUGCUGUUCAAAACUGAUCUCAAGCACAUUGCCCUCUGGUUAGUCUAUCUGUGCUCCCUUGGCCAGGAUGUUUAUAAUACUCAGGGAGUCUCUCAUGUUACUUAGUGCAGUAAUGUGGCUCCAUGAAUAAAAGCCAUUUCCAGUCUGUCGGUACUGCA